rnacentral:rRNA from 1 species
UACGGAGGAUGCAAGCGUUAUCCGGAAUGAUUGGGCGUAAAGCGUCCGCAGGUGGCAAUGUAAGUCUGCUGUCAAAGCGUCUGGCUCAACCAGAUAAAGGCAGUGGAAACUACAUAGCUAGAGUAAGGUAGGGGUAGAGGGAAUUCCUGGUGUAGCGGUGAAAUGCGUAGAGAUCAGGAAGAACACCGGUGGCGAAAGCGCUCUGCUGGACGUUAACUGACACUGAGGGACGAAAGCUAGGGGAGCGAAUGGG